AAUGCCCUGGCCCUCAAUCGUUAUUGCUUAAUUAUAAACAAAGACUUCCAGGCCUUUUUUUUUUCUCACUGAGCAAAGCUCCUGAAGGAAUGAGAGGCUGGAUUCCUCUGUUGACAAAUAGCCCUGAUUCCUUGAAAACGUGAAGUUGAGACAUUUCCCAAGGUCCCAGUGGCCAGUUUCUGAUGGAGGUGUGGUUAGAGCUGUUCUGCUGAAGUUUGUUGUGUGCUGCAGACUCAGCUACAGGACACUGGAAGCCUCAAAGUGUCUUCAAGCUCUUGUCCAAGGGUGUUAUUAACUGCCCUGCAUCUCCAGGUCCUGCUCAGCUCUGAUGAAAUCCCAUCAAGGCUCCUUCUGCCCAGGAAACACAACCACAAACGCUCCAGCACUUG